ensembl:lncRNA
CCUCUAUUAUGGCUUCCUCUCCACUGCCGAUAAGGAGCUGUAUAGGGAGCCUUUGGAGCUCAUGUACACCAAGUACCACGUCAACCAGGCGGCAAGAGCCCGUAUCAAGGUGGUUCAGGAGGAACUCAACAGGAAAGGCAUGACUCCACAAGGCUGUGAGAGAAAAAAGAGGGUAUGUCAGAAGCUGUGGCAUGAGGAGACGACAACAGUCUUACGGCUCAGCAUCUACAAGGGUUUGCUGGCUAUUCUCAAGGAGUAUGUCAUGGUUUUCCAGAGUAGCCAGACAUUGGUUCACAAUCUUCACGAUCGGCAGCUUGAGCUGUUCCUGGCCUUCAUGGCUUGCUUUGUGAAGGCCGAACACAUUACUCAG